rnacentral:lncRNA from 1 species
CAGCAAAUAAAAACCUUGAUACAAACCAUAUUGUUGAACGAUUAAGUAGACAAAAUCAGCCAGUGUCAACCAUAAAAAUAUUGCUAAUGAAUCUGGGACCAAAAAUAAGAGCUUUACUUCUUAAAGAUGUUGUCAUUGGGGGAGAUGCAACUGCCUUAUGCAUACUUUUAGUAUCUCAUCAACCUGAGUCUGGACAACUAUUUAAGUCACAAACCUAGAUAACAAAAUAAGACAGGUUAGUUUUAGGUAUUGCAGGAAAAGUAUGAACUACUACAGAGAAUUCUAGAUAAUAGGAACAUUUCUCCCAUUUCCAGAUCUUUAUUUCGAGUUAAUGUUGCCUUCAAGUAAAUUGAUGACCAUGCAGGUCAGAAACACCAAUACCUUAUUUAUAAGCAUAUAUUUUUCUUCCCCUGCUCUUGCUAGGCCAAGUGUUACUGAAUUCAGAUAUUAGAAACCUUUUGUAUUGUCGGGUGCUGUUGAUCACUAUUAUGGCCAUACAAAACGUGCAGUACAGUCAGUGUCAAUAUUUGGACAUAGAAGCUAAUCCCUAUACCCCUAAUUUGUGCCGUCUGAUUUGAUUUUAAUAAGAAAAUCUCAAUUAUAACUUCAUUCUGGUUAGUAGCAUGUAGAAGUAUAAGAAAAGUAACGUGUCUGCAUAAAGCCAUAAUGCCAUGAGAAUAUAAGUAUAAGAAAAUAAUAAUUCAUAAAGACAACUAUUUAGUAGUGCAAGAAUAAGCAUGCACAAUUAAUCCACUAAAGAUAGUUAUUUUUUGAACACCGAAAAUAUGUGCUUGGUAAAUCCAGACACGAAGAAAAAGCAGGGGUACCGUAAGUGCAGUGUUUGACCUUAUCUACUAUACAACAUUCUCAGACUUCAGAGAGCCGCCAGUGGAAAGUUUUCAUUUCCACUGGCCCCCAACGCUGGUGGGUCUGAAAAACGCCUGUAGAAAUAUGUUUGAAACCACUAGUAUAGAGCUUUAUUGUGCUAGUGAUGGUUCCACAACUAUCAGACUGUUAUGAAGAAAAUAUGAAUGGGUCCACAUUUGAUUUGUACCAAUCGAUUGAGAGAGAGCCGAGUAUGUAAGGAAAUCAAAUUAGUAUAACUUAGGUAAUAAUACUGUGAAAGUUGUUGCAAUUUAAACCAACCAACCUAAAUAACAUACCAUCAGCACAACCAAAUCUAAACUAAUUUCACCAUACUGAGGAAGCCGUGAGUUUUUAUAACCAAGCAAUUAUUCAUGUUUGCUCUACAAUUAUAUCAAGGAAUCUAAUAUAAAUCUUAAUCUGAAAUUUGGCAUUACCUUCGUGGCAAUUGUUCAAAUUUCCUCAGAGAAUGAUGCCUGAGAUCCCAGCAGCAUGCUUCUUACAGUCGAUUAAUCC